CCUAGGACUAUCUGCUUCCUGUUCUUGCAGAAUCAUUGCUCCUGGCCUCUUGGGAGACAGAGCAGGCUAUGGUGUGUGUCUGUGUGUGUGUCUGUGUGUGUGGUAUUAGCCAGCUCAGGCCACCUUAACAAAAUACCACAGACUGUGGCUUAAAAACAAAAAACUGAUUUCCUCACAGGCCCGGAGGCGGAAGCCCACAGUGCCAGCAGCUGCUUCCUGGUGAGACCUCUCUCCUUGACUUGCAGAUGGCCACUUUCCUCAGGACGAGGAAGCAGAUUUGAAGAAGCAUCUCUAAGGAACAACUUUCAAAAACUCACUGAACAGUUGCCCUGGGAGGGAGCUGCUGCUGUCACCACCACUGUCGCCAUCACCAGGAAAGCCACCCAUUCAGGAGCUGCCACCACCUCUGCCCAGUGUUCUUGAAGCUGGGGACUGACACAGCACCCAGGCCCAGCUGUCACAUGAGGUCUCAAUACUGCAUCUCUCUGCAUCCAGAGGAUCCUGGGGUUGCACCUUCUGCCUUCUGAGUCUCCUGGGGGUGCCUCUGCCCAGCAGGAGCUUACAAUGCUCUACUGCUGCCGCGGACACAAGGAGUCAGCCGUACUUGGCCGUAGACCUUUGUUCAUGAGUUGUAGACUCUCUCCUACAGCAUCUGAAGGGAGAGAGUAGGAAGGACGAGUGUGCCAGCAUCGGACAGGGAGGGGAAGACAUCUCUGAAGAGAAGGAUGCAGCCAGGAGGAUGCCGGGAACACGGGGGAGGAGCACUUCUGCUUCUUGGGUAUGUCAAGGUGCCAUUUCCGGUUUAUUUGUAAAGGGAAUCUAGACGGAUGACUGUCCCCCAGGGAUUCAGUGAACUCAGCUGAUUCUCAGGUACUCUGAUUCUGGUGCGAGCCGCCCCAGCCUUCACACACGCCAUGAGCAUCACAGUGGCCUCCACCCUGGUCAGAUUGCUGCUCAUGGGAAAAGCAAACUAGAGAAGUAGUGACAAGCAGCAGUGGCAGCUACAGAAGCAUCUGGAAUCUGCAGCGCCUGCAGUGCACAGGCGGUUUACUUUGAUUCUGUCAUUCUGCUUCUCCGUUGCAGCAGGGAGGCUGUCCCCAUUUCCAGGUGGUCCUGGUUGUCAAUUCCUGGCCUGGCCAUGUGGCGCUGGUUCCCUCUUCUUCCUGCCUGUCUCCCGCUCUGUUUAUCCUAGGAGUGGCCAGGACCUGGGCCCUCCCGUUCUGGGGCCCUCCUUAGUCCCAGCCAAGGACAGCAGCUGAGUAGACGUAUGGGAAGAGGAUUUCUAGCUGGCUGGAAGCCUCUUCCUGUACUGAAGUCCAGAGCCGGGAAUGUGGCUGAUGCAGAGAUGCGGGAGUCGGUGGCACGCGAACCGCCCCGGUCCUGUCCGCAUUGGCCCUUACAGGCUGCGUGACCUCAGGCAAGCCCUUCAUGUCCCUAGGCCGAGGUUUCCUCAUUCUAAAACCAGGAUAAUCACACCCAUCGCAUAAGGUUAUGGAGAGGUGCAUAGCAGGUGCUCAGUGUGGGGUCGAUUCCUACCAGGUGCAAACUAGCAAAACGUCGUUGGGAACCUGUGGGCACGGGAUGGGGGUGAUGGGUGGGGGACGGUUGCUCUAGGUGCGGCCAGGCAUGGGCCCUGCAGGAAAGGGUGCAUUCUCAGCCCGCACGUCUAUCUUGGGGGCUCCUCUGUGUGGGCAGUGCCAGGCGGAGGGAUCUGCAGAGCGCACCCACUGCAAAUCUCUCGGGCCCAUAACAGGCAUCUCUGUCUGGAAGAACUCUGCCCGCUUCCUGUCUACACGGUUACAUGGGACACGGCCUGUCACAAGAGCCUGCUCUACUCAGGUCAUGUGAGGAGAGCAGGCAGCUGCCUGGCUGAAGCUGGCCACACACUGCCUUCUGGGCGACUUGGACUUGAACAUUGACUGGUUCCAUCACCGCCCUGGCUCUUAAAACAGGGAGCCGCCAACUUAGAGGCACUGGUCGCGGCCCUUCCCCUUGCCACCUCCCCCACCCCCAUUUUCCUGGGAUAUUCCCAGACCUAUGGGAAGGUUGCAAAAACAGCACAAGGGACACCCCCAGACCCUCUUUAUUUAAGUCUGUCCGCUGUUAACAUUUUCACCCACAUUUGCUUUAUCUGUCUCUAUUUACAUGGCACAUACAUUUUUUAUUAUUGACAAACCAUUUGCAAGUAUUAGUUACGGGCAUCAUGACCCGCUACCCCCCAACACUUCAACAUAGACCUCUCAAGAACAAGGGCAUUAUUCUGCAUCACAUUGAUGUAAUUGUCACCCUCUGAAAAUUGAACAUCGAUAUAUUGUUAUUAUCUAAUGCCUCGUUCAUAUUGUCUGCUAUUUAGUCCAUUAUCCAAUAUUUAGUCUGCAAAGUCUGUUUUAGAGCUGCUUUUGCUCUGACAUGGGAGCUGGUAUCCCCGCCCCCACCCCUUGCUCCGCAUGGCCUUGAACCUGGAUCAUGUCCUCAGCCCUCCUUUGUCUUUUCCGACACUGACAUUUUGGAGAAUCGAGGCCGGCUCUUUGGCAGAAUGUCCCUCGGUGCAGGAGUGCCUGGUGUUUCUCCACGGUCACGCUCAGGUUAUGCGAGGCGGGCAGGAGUGCUCCUCCCCAGGUCCCCUGAGGAGGCUCAUGAUGUCAGCUGUCCCAGUGCUGGUGAGGUCAUGUUUAAUAAGAAUAUGGUUAAGGAGAUAUCUUUCACUCAGUGCUUUUAUUGAUUCUUGCCUGAACCAGUUAGUUAUAAAACGACGAUUUUCUGUUUUUAUCAUUUACUUUGUAUUCUUCAGUAGAGAAGAGUGUUUCUUCCUCUACUUAAAAAUUUAAACAAAUAUCAGUCUGAACUCAUGGAUUCUUUACUGUUAGUA